AUUGAACGCUGGCGGCAUGCCUUACACAUGCAAGUCGAACGGCAGCACGGGAGCAAUCCUGGUGGCGAGUGGCGAACGGGUGAGUAAUAUAUCGGAACGUGCCCAGUCGUGGGGGAUAACGUAGCGAAAGCUACGCUAAUACCGCAUACGAUCUAUGGAUGAAANCGGGGGAUCGCAAGACCUCGCGCGAUUGGAGCGGCCGAUAUCAGAUUAGGUAGUUGGUGAGGUAAAGGCUCACCAAGCCGACGAUCUGUAGCUGGUCUGAGAGGACGACCAGCCACACUGGGACUGAGACACGGCCCAGACUCCUACGGGAGGCAGCAGUGGGGAAUUUUGGACAAUAGGCGCAAGCCUGAUCCAGCAAUGCCGCGUGCAGGAUGAAGGCCUUCGGGUUGUAAACUGCUUUUGUACGGAACGAAACGGUGAGCUCUAAUACAGUUUGCUAAUGACGGUACCGUAAGAAUAAGCACCGGCUAACUACGUG
rnacentral:rRNA from 1 species